UCCCAAGAGAUAGAGAAUUGAAGAUGUUAUUUUUUUUUUGAAAAUAAUGUCAAGGAGAUCCAAAUCUCUCAUAAUGAUGCUGUCGUUGUCUCUAUGACGAUAGCAAAAUAUGAUGUAAAAAGAGUUCUUGUUGAUAAUGGAAGCUUUAUUGAUGUAUUGUUCUAUGAUGCUUUCUCAAAAAUAAAUCUGGUCGGACAACUCAGGUG
rnacentral:lncRNA from 1 species